rnacentral:lncRNA from 1 species
GCACAACACGGGGCCAGACACACGGAAAGGGCCCCAAGGGUCAGCCCCCGGGCUGCCCUCCACGCAGACCCCACAGGGUCUCCUCGUCGCCCCCCCGACCUCCGCGCGCGUGCGCACAAGCUGCUAGAGGGAGCGGCGGGCAGCGGACGGCGGGAAAAGGAGACUUACCUCGGUAUUCCUCCAUACGCCCCCCUUGAUCAUAAUUCGAGGCAUCUUGGCGGCAGGGUGUCUCGGCAAGCAGCCGAGAGGAGCUUCAGAGAAGUAGUAACAGCGAUUGGGCCACCGGACUCAAAGCCGCCACUUCCUCCAAGCGCGACCUUCUGCUUUGAAGAUCUGCGCAAGCGCAAGGUCUUCGAGAUUUUAACACUGGAGCAUAGAGGAGGUCAGUCUCUACUGACUGCUGAACAUCCAACACGUGACACCCAGGAGUUGUCUACCACCAUGUUUUGGACUAAGGGAAAAAAGCAGGUGGAUUGUUGCAUUUGCAGAUUUAACAUUCUUAAAUUUCCAAGCACAAUUACUACACUAUUUAAAGAUAUGAACAACUUUGAUGACAGUAAUGGAGCAGUACAAAACUGAUUCAUCAAAUAACUUGGGAAAAAACCUACAAUUUUUAUUAAUAGAUGAUAGAUAAUAACAUUUCUAUUCAUAGAUAAUAAUUCCAGCCAUAAUGAAGUAGCGGGGAUCAGAUUUACUCUCCUGACUUAAACAAGUAGAAAACUGGACAAAAUGUAUGAAAUAACAAUUUUCAGAAUGAGACAACAGGCAGCACAGGAUUGUGAUCCUAAAGAAAAGGAAAGCAAAUGAAGAGAUUCCUGUAAUCACCCAGCUUUGCCUGGAGGCACAUUCAAGACCACAGCGUAGGAUGAGCAACCCCACACAGAGCAUGGCAUUCUCUAUGAGUUUGAGGAGCCGAAGAUCCAAGUUCAGAGAGUCUUGGAGGACUGGAAGCUGCAGGGCAGAGUUCUGGGGAAGAAGGAACUUUACAAAAAAAUGAAAGUAAGAAAUUUACACAGCACUUCCUUUGAGUCUUUGCUGAAUAUUAAGACACACAUGUGUAGGGUAGAACUCCAAAAGAUCAGACAAUAGAGUGACUGGGAACUGAAUGGGCUCACAAAGGGCUAAAAAUCAUUUUAGUUCCCACCAACUAAAGUGAAGACUCCUCACUGAUCACUCAAGGUAUUCUGCAGAGACUCUAAAAGGGCCACAUCUUACUUAGUAAUGGAGUUAAACUAUCCCUAAAGACUGCUUUAGACACGCCCUAACAAAGCUUGAAAACAAGCCUCAAACCAAACUGCAAGUGACUUAACUGCCUGCUACAGCAAAGACCAGCACUCUUUAAAAGAAGACCACAAGGCCUGUUGCGGUGGCUCACGCCUGUAAUCCCAGCACUUUGGGAGCCCAAGGCAGGUGGAUCACGAAGUCAAGAGAUUGAAACCAGCCUGGUCAAC